rnacentral:rRNA from 1 species
AUUGAACGCUGGCGACAUGCUUUACACAUGCAAGUCGAACGGUAACAGGGAGCUUGCUCCGCUGACGAGUGGCGAACGGGUGAGUAAUGCGUCGGAACGUGCCGAGUAGUGGGGGAUAACGCGGCGAAAGGUGUGCUAAUACCGCAUACGUACUGAGGUAGCAAGUGGGGGACCUUCGGGCCUCACGCUAUUCGAGCGGCCGACGUCUGAUUAGCUAGUUGGUGAGGUACUGGCGCACCAAGGCGUCGAUCAGUAGCGGGUCUGAGAGGAUGAUCCGCCACAGUGGUACUGAGACACGGCCCAGACUCCUACGGGAGGCAGCAGUGGGGAAUUUUGGACAAUGGGCGCAAGCCUGAUCCAGCCAUGCCGCGUGUCUGAAGAAGGCCUUCGGGUUGUAAAGGACUUUUGUCCGGGAGCAAAUGCCUGGUGUUAAUAGCAUCGGGAGCUGAGAGUACCGGAAGAAUAAGCACCGGCUAACUACGUGCCAGCCGCCGCGGUAAAAC